rnacentral:rRNA from 1 species
UACGUAGGGGGCAAGCGUUGUCCGGAAUCAUUGGGCGUAAAGCGCGCGUAGGCGGCCCGGUAAGUCCGCUGUGAAAGUCGGGGGCUCAACCCUCGGAUGCCGGUGGAUACUGUCGGGCUUGAGUGCGGAAGAGGCGAGUGGAAUUCCUGGUGUAGCGGUGAAAUGCGUAGAUAUCAAGUGGAACACCAGUGGCGAAGGCGAGUCUCUGGACAUUUCCUGACGCUGAGGCACGAAAGCCAGGGGAGCAAACGGG